rnacentral:lncRNA from 1 species
CCUUAAUGCUAAGCAUUAUUGUGUCACAAGAACGAAGAAGAAAAUUUAACAAAAUUAUAAUAAAGCAGCACUAGUCAUUUGUUAUUGGCUAAUGGUAGGUUCCAACCAAGUUGGGGGCCAGGUCAUCUACCAACAGAAAUAACUAAUCAAGACUUUCAUUUGUUAAAUAGGAACAUAGGUCAUCUACCACAACUACAUGUUCCACUUUUAUCCUUCUGUUUUUAUGAUCCAAUGUUGACAAGCAUAAGCAAACCAACGCGACAUAUGGAAAACUACAACAGAAAUUUUGUUACCAAACCA